GUCCGGUUAGCUCAGUCGGUAGAGCGCAAGGCUCUUAACCUUGUGGUCGUGAGUUCGAGCCCCACAUUGGGCG
rnacentral:tRNA from 1 species